rnacentral:rRNA from 1 species
AGGGUUUGAUCCUGGCUCAGAUUGAACGCUGGCGGAAUGCUUUACACAUGCAAGUCGAACGGUAGAGGGGGCAACCCCUCGAGAGUGGCGAACGGGUGAGUAAUAUAUCGGAACGUGCCCAGUCGUGGGGGAUAACGUAGCGAAAGUUACGCUAAUACCGCAUACGAUCUACGGAUGAAAGCGGGGGAUCGCAAGACCUCGCGCGAUUGGAGCGGCCGAUAUCAGAUUAGGUAGUUGGUGGGGUAAAGGCUCACCAAGCCAACGAUCUGUAGCUGGUCUAAGAGGACGACCAGCCACACUGGAACUGAGACACGGUCCAGACUCCUACGGGAGGCAGCAGUGGGGAAUUUUGGACAAUGGACGCAAGUCUGAUCCAGCCAUUCCGCGUGCAGGAUGAAGGCCCUCGGGUUGUAAACUGCUUUUGUACGGAACGAAAAGGUUUCCAUUAAUACUGGGAGCUCAUGACGGUACCGUAAGAAUAAGCACCGGCUAACUACGUGCCAGCCGCCGCGGUAAUAC